rnacentral:rRNA from 1 species
CCCGCUGAACUUAAGCAUAUCAAUAAGCGGAGGAAAAGAAACUAACAAGGAUUCCCCUAGUAACUGCGAGUGAAGCGGGAAAAGCUCAAAUUUGAAAUCUGGCGGUUCUUGACUGUCCGAGUUGUAAUCUAGAGAAGUGUUACCUGUGCUGGACCGUGUACAAGUCUUCUGGAAUGGAGCAUCAUAGAGGGUGAGAAUCCCGUCUUUGACACGGACUACCUGUACAUUAUGGUGCGCUCCCAAAGAGUCGAGUUGUUUGGGAAUGCAGCUCAAAAUGGGUGGUAAAUGCCAUCUAAAGCUAAAUAUUGGCGAGAGACCGAUAGCGAACAAGUACCGUGAGGGAAAGAUGAAAAGAACUUUGGAAAGAGAGUUAAACAGUACGUGAAAUUGCUGAAAGGGAAACGCUUGAAGUCAGUCGCGUCGGCUAGAAAUCAACCUUGCUUUUGCUUGGUGUAUUUUCUGGUUCUGAUGGGUCAGCAUCAAUUUUGACCGCUGGAUAAAGUCUUUGGGAAUGUGGCAUCUUAGGAUGUGUUGUAGCCCAUUGUCGCAUACUGCGGUUGGGAUUGAGGAACUCAGCAUGCCCGCAAGGGACAGGGUUCUUUUUGAACCACAUUUCGUGCUUAGGAUGCUGGCAUAAUGGCUUUAAUCGACCCGUCUUGAAACACGG